rnacentral:rRNA from 1 species
AUGGAUAAUAAUUAUAAGAUAUGGAGGUCGAAGAUACCUUUUAAAAACAAGAUUUUCAUUUGGUAUCUUCAUAGGAGAGUUGUCCUAACUAAAGACAAUCUUGUCCGUUGCAACUGGCAUGGAAGCGAGAAGUGUAAUUUUUGUGCUCAUGACAAGACAAUCAAACACCUCUUCUUUCAUUGCAAGUUUACGCGUUCUACGUAG